rnacentral:rRNA from 1 species
UACGUAUGGUGCAAGCGUUAUCCGGAUUUACUGGGUGUAAAGGGAGCGCAGGCGGCACGGCAAGCCUGAUGUGAAAGCCCGCGGCCCAACCGCGGGACUGCAUUGGGAACUACCGGGCUGGAGUGCCGGAGAGGUAGGCGGAAUUCCUAGUGUAGCGGUGAAAUGCGUAAAUAUUAGGAGGAACACCAGUGGCGAAGGCGGCCUACUGGACGGUGACUGACGCUGAGGCUCGAAAGCGUGGGGAGCAAACAGG